UCAAGUGACUAAGAGCAUGUGGUGGAUGCCUUGGCGAUGAUAGGCGAGAAGGACGUGUAAGCCUGCGAAAAGCUUCGGGGAGCUGGCAAUUAAGCUUUGAUCCGGAGAUGUCCGAAUGGGGAAACCCACCCUUAGGGGUAUCCCAGCCUGAAUACAUAGGGCUGUGGAGGCGAACUCAGCGAACUGAAACAUCUAAGUAGCUGAAGGAACAGAAAUCAACCGAGAUUCCGUAAGUAGUGGCGAGCGAACGCGGAGUAGCCUGUACGUGAUAGUCGAACUCUUAGUAGAACGGAAUGGAAAGUCCGGCCAUAGUGGGUGAUAGCCCCGUAUACGAAAAGAGAUCGGUGGUACUAAGCGUACGACAAGUAGGGCGGGACACGAGAAAUCCUGUCUGAAGAUGGGGGGACCAUCCUCCAAGGCUAAAUACUCAUCAUCGACCGAUAGUGAACCAGUACCGUGAGGGAAAGGCGAAAAGAACCGCGGGAGCGGAGUGAAAUAGAACCUGAAACCGGAUGCAUACAAACAGUGGGAGCCUCCUUGUGGGGUGACUGCGUACCUUUUGUAUAAUGGGUCAGCGACUUACAUUCAGUAGCGAGCUUAACCGAGUAGGGGAGGCGUAGCGAAAGCGAGUCCGAAUAGGGCGUCUAGUUGCUGGGUGUAGACCCGAAACCAAGUGAUCUAUCCAUGGCCAGGUUGAAGGUGCGGUAACACGCACUGGAGGACCGAACCCACUAGUGUUGCAAAACUAGGGGAUGAGCUGUGGAUAGGGGUGAAAGGCUAAACAAACUUGGAAAUAGCUGGUUCUCCUCGAAAACUAUUUAGGUAGUGCCUCAUGUAUCACUGACGGGGGUAAAGCACUGUUAUGGCUAGGGGGUCAUCGCGACUUACCAAACCAUGGCAAACUCUGAAUACCGUCAAGUGCGAGCAUGGGAGACAGACAUCGGGUGCUAACGUCCGGUGUCGAAAGGGAAACAACCCAGACCCUCAGCUAAGGUCCCAAAUGCAUAGUUAAGUGGAAAACGAAGUGGGAAGGCAUAGACAGCCAGGAUGUUGGCUUAGAAGCAGCCAUCAUUUAAAGAAAGCGUAAUAGCUCACUGGUCGAGUCGUCCUGCGCGGAAGAUGUAACGGGGCUCAAACUAUGAACCGAAGCUAGGGAUAUGUCUUAGGACAUAUGGUAGAGGAGCGUUCCGUAGGUCUGUGAAGGUGUCUUGUGAAGGAUGCUGGAGAUAUCGGAAGUGCGAAUGCUGACAUGAGUAGCGAUAAACAGGGUGAAAUUCCCUGUCACCGAAAACCCAAGGUUUCCUGCGCAACGUUCAUCGGCGCAGGGUGAGUCGGCCCCUAAGGCGAGGCUGAAAAGCGUAGUCGAUGGGAAACAGGUUAAUAUUCCUGUACCUCUUUGUAAUGCGAUGGGGGGACGGAGAAGGUUAGGUCAGCCGGGUGUUGGACGUCCCGGUUUAAGCGUGUAGUCGUGCCUGGUAGGCAAAUCCGCCGGGCUUAGAUGAGGCGUGACGACGAGUGGUCUUUGACCGCGAAGUGAUUGAUACCAUGCUUCCAAGAAAAGCCUCUAAGCUUCAGUUACAAAGAGACCGUACCGCAAACCGACACAGGUGGGCAGGAUGAGAAUUCUAAGGCGCUUGAGAGAACUCAGGAGAAGGAACUCGGCAAAUUAGCACCGUAACUUCGGGAGAAGGUGCGCCCUGGUAGGUUGUAGCCCCUCGCGGGCGAAGGCCGAUAGGGUUGCAGUGAAAUGGUGGCUGCGACUGUUUAAUAAAAACACAGCACUCUGCAAACACGAAAGUGGACGUAUAGGGUGUGACGCCUGCCCGGUGCCGGAAGGUUAAGUGAUGGGGUGCAAGCUCUUGAUCGAAGCCCCGGUAAACGGCGGCCGUAACUAUAACGGUCCUAAGGUAGCGAAAUUCCUUGUCGGGUAAGUUCCGACCUGCACGAAUGGCGUAACGAUGGCCACACUGUCUCCUCCUGAGACU
rnacentral:rRNA from 1 species